UCCAACCCCCUGUAAGGCAGGAAUAUACAGCUGUCCCAUACGGGGAAUCAAACCUGCAACCUUGGCAUUAUCAGCAUCAUGCUCUAACCAACUGAGCUAUCCAGAAAUCCUGUGAAGCAGACUAGGCUAAGACACAGAGCAUUCAAACAAAGCCUCCCACACGUUCAACAAAAGUGUGAUGCAGAAAGCCCCUGCCAACCACACAUUGACACUGAUGCUCCUGUUGAUUGUGCUCUUCCUUGCACUCUGUUGCAGCCAUGCAUUCAGUGGGAAAAGGGUCAUCUUAUCACCACCGAGGGAAAGAUCCCAGGAGAGGGAGAGAGAGAGAGAGAUGACAGAAAAUGGCUUCAGAAUCCUGAUGACUUGGUGCCAUUUGGAUUUUCUACCUCAGGCACCAAGCAUCUCAGAAUUGGCUUAUGGCUCCGGACAGUGAAUAGGCACAAGAGGCAUAAAGAAGAAUUCUCCAAAGAACGCAGAGAGAAAUGAAAAGGGCAGAGGAGAGAUUGGGUGAAUGCAGGCACAAUCUACAUUUGCUUGGAAAAA